AUACGAAGGGGGCUAGCGUUGUUCGGAAUCACUGGGCGUAAAGCGCGCGUAGGUGGAUCAAUUAGUUGAGGGUGAAAUCCCGGGGCUCAACCUCGGAACUGCCUUCAAUACUGUUGAUCUUGAGACCGAGAGAGGUGAGUGGAAUUCCUAGUGUAGAGGUGUAAUUCGUAGAUAUUAGGAAGAACACCAGUGGCGAAGGCGGCUCACUGGCUCGGUACUGACGCUGAGGUGCGAAAGCGUGGGGAGCAAACAGGAUUAGAAACCCUAGUAGUCC
rnacentral:rRNA from 1 species